rnacentral:rRNA from 1 species
UACAGAGGUCCCAAGCGUUGUUCGGAUUCAUUGGGCGUAAAGGGUGCGUAGGUGGCGUCGUAAGUCGGGUGUGAAAUCUCGGGGCUUAACUCCGAAACUGCAUUCGAUACUGCGGUGCUUGAGGGCUGGAGAGGAGAUCGGAAUUCACGGUGUAGCAGUGAAAUGCGUAGAUAUCGUGAGGAAGACCAGUGGCGAAGGCGGAUCUCUGGACAGCUCCUGACGCUGAGGCGCGAAGGCUAGGGGAGCAAACGGG